GACGAACGCUGGCGGCGUGCUUAACACAUGCAAGUCGAACGGAAAGGCCCUGCUUUUGUGGGGUGCUCGAGUGGCGAACGGGUGAGUAACACGUGAGUAACCUGCCCUUGACUUUGGGAUAACUUCAGGAAACUGGGGCUAAUACCGGAUAGGAGCUCCUGAUGCAUGGUGGGGGUUGGAAAGUUUCGGCGGUUGGGGAUGGACUCGCGGCUUAUCAGCUUGUUGGUGGGGUAGUGGCUUACCAAGGCUUUGACGGGUGGCCGGCCUGAGAGGGUGACCGGCCACAUUGGGACUGAGAUACGGCCCAGACUCCUACGGGAGGCAGCAGUGGGGAAUAUUGCACAAUGGGCGGAAGCCUGAUGCAGCAACGCCGCGUGCGGGAUGACGGCCUUCGGGUUGUAAACCGCUUUCGCCUGUGACGAAGCGUGAGUGACGGUAAUGGGUAAAGAAGCACCGGCUAACUACGUG
rnacentral:rRNA from 1 species